rnacentral:rRNA from 1 species
GACGAACCGUGCGAACGUUGUUCGGAAUCACUGGGCUUAAAGGGCGCGUAGGCGGGUUGCCAAGUCAGGGGUGAAAUCUUUCGGCUUAACCGGAAAACGGCCUCUGAUACUGGUAGUCUUGAGGGAGGUAGGGGCGGGUGGAACUCCCGGUGGAGCGGUGAAAUGUGUUGAUAUCGGAAGGAACGCCGGUGGCGAAAGCGACCUGCUGGAUCUCUUCUGACGCUGAGGCGCGAAAGCUAGGGGAGCGAACGGG